rnacentral:misc_RNA from 1 species
GAUGAAGAACGUAGCGAAAUGCGAUAAGUAGUGUGAAUUGCAGAAUUCAGUGAAUCAUCGAAUCUUUGAACGCACAUUGCGCCCCGUGGUAUUGCAUGGGGCAUGCCUGUUCGAGCGUCAUUUGUACCUUCAAGCUCUGCUUGGUGUUGGGUGUUUGUCUCGCCUCUGCGUGUAGACUCGCCUCAAAACAAUUGGCAGCCGGCGUAUUGAUUUCGGAGCGCAGUACAUCUCGCGCUUUGCACUCAUAACGACGACGUCCAAAAGUACAUUUUUACACUCUUGACCUCGGAUCAGGUAGGGAUACCCGCUGAACUUAAGCAUAUCAAUAAGCGGAGGA